rnacentral:rRNA from 1 species
AAAACAGCCCUACGGGAGGCAGCAGUGAGGAAUAUUGGACAAUGGGUGAGAGCCUGAUCCAGCCAUCCCGCGUGAAGGACGACGGCCCUAUGGGUUGUAAACUUCUUUUGUACAGGGAUAAACCUAGAUACGUGUAUCUAGCUGAAGGUACUGUACGAAUAAGCACCGGCUAACUCCGUGCCAGCAGCCGCGGUAAUACGGAGGGUGCAAGCGUUAUCCGGAUUUAUUGGGUUUAAAGGGUCCGUAGGCGGGCCUGUAAGUCAGUGGUGAAAUCUCAUAGCUCAACUAUGAAACUGCCAUUGAUACUGCAGGUCUUGAGUAAGGUAGAAGUGGCUGGAAU